rnacentral:tRNA from 1 species
AAGGAUUUAAGUUAAGUUAAACUCUUAACCUUCAAAGUUAAUAAUAGAAGUUUUCUAAGCCUUA